GUUGGUGGUUUAGUUAAUAAUUGAUCACAUAAUAAAGCAAGCAGGACUUUGUUGUUCAUAUUCAGAUAAACCUGGACUUGCUAUUGAAAGAGUUUUUCUUCAUCAUUUCAUUUCAGUUGAUUUCUUCUUAUACAGUUUAAGCUUCACUAAUCAAUUUCACCUAAUUUUCAUCUAUUCCAUCCAUGUUUUCUUUCACUUCCAACUCAAAAAGGCACCUCAAACUUAAAUCCACACCUUCUAUUAGAACUCCUACUAAUCCAAAGAGGGCGAGGUACGAUGUGUACUUGAGUUUCUGCGACCAAGACAAAGACCUGCAUUCUUUUGUUUUCAGUAUCUAUAAUGCUCUUAGUAGAAAAGCUGGAGUUGAUGUUUUCUGGGAGAAUGAGAGGGAUGGCUAUGGAGAUCGAGAAAAACCAACCUCUGUGCUCAAUGUUAUAAGAGAUUGCAAAGUUUUUGUAAUUGUAUUUUCAAGAGACUAUUUCAAUUCAAGGUCGUGUCUUCAUGAAUUUAAAAAAAUAACUGAGUGUUGCCGAACCAAAGAUGAUCUUAUGGUUCUACCUGUGUUCUAUGAUGGUGUUGAUCUCUCGUUCGGAAGUUGGGAAAGAGGUAUGUUUGGAGGAGAGACUUUUCAUGAUUGCGUGGAUAAAAUCUUGAUGAAGAAAACCUCUAAAGAGGAAGAUAAGUUCAUGACUUGGGUGGCAUCAAUCAGCAAAGCUACCAUAUAUACGGGACAAAGUGAUCUCGAAGACAGGAACAGUAGUAUAUAUAUUGACGACGUAGUCGAAUGUGUUACUAAUGUGCUACGCCACUGGAAAGACUUCUCCCGUGCUUUCUGUCCAGUGAGCAUAAAAUCUGGUGUGCAAGAUGUGAUUCAACUAUUGAAACAAUCAAACUCUCCUCUUCUAAUAGGGAUAUGGGGGAUGGGAGGGAUUGGUAAAUCAACCAUUGCCCAAGCUAUUUAUGAUCAAGUUGGUCCCUAUUUUGAACACAAGAGUUUGCUAAAAAACGUCAGGACAUUUUGGCAACAAAAUGGAGGUCAAGUUUCUUUACAAAAGAAACUUCUUAUGGCUGUCAACAAAACAACUGAAAAAAAGAUACUUCAUAUUGAAUCAGGGAAAGUGAUUUUAAAAGAAAGACUCCGUCAUAAAAGUGUACUUCUUAUACUUGACGAUGUUAAUAAAUUGGAGCAGCUGAAGUCUUUGUGUGGAAAUCGGGAUUGGUUUGGUCCAGGUAGCAAAAUAAUCAUUAUCACCAGAGAUAGACAUCUACUUAUGGAGCAUGGAGUUGACCAUAUAUAUAAAGUGAAACAAUUGGAAGAAAGUGAAUCGAUUGAGCUUUUUAAUUGGGGUGCAUUCAGCCAAGCAACAACUCCUCAAGGUUUUAGUGAACUUUCUAGGCAAUUAGUUGCUUAUUCUAAGGGAUUGCCUCUUGCUCUUAAAGCCCUUGGGGAGUUUUUGCAUGGAAAGGACGCACUUGAGUGGAAACGUGUGUUGAAGAGUCUUGAAAGAUUUUCCUUUCCCGACCAAGAAGUACUGCAAGCUCUAGAGACGAGUUUUGAUGAUUUGAAGGAUGAAGAAAAACAUAUAUUCCUUGAUAUAGCAUGUUUCUUUAACGGGAUGGACCAAAAUUAUGUACUCCGUACAAUAAAUAGGUCAACACAAUGCACCAGUCUUCAAAUAAGUCUCCUUGAAGACAAGAGCCUUUUAACCAUUGGUGAGAAUAACAAGCUUGAAAUGCAUGGUCUGCUACAAGCGAUGGCAAGGGAUAUCAUUAAGAGAGAAUCAAGUAAUAAGACUGAUCAGCCAAAGAUGUACGAUGUGUUCUUGAGUUUCAGAGGGGAAGACAGUCGUGCAAAGUUCAUUUCACAUCUCUAUUCAUCUCUUCAAAAUGCCGGGAUUUAUGUUUUCAAAGACGACGAUGAAAUUCAACGAGGCGAUCAGAUCUCAAUUUCACUAUUGCGAGCAAUCGGACACUCUAGAAUUUUUAUUGUGGUUUUAUCUACAAACUAUGCUAAUUCAAGAUGGUGUAUGCUAGAGUUGGAGAAGAUAAUGGAAAUUGGCAGAACCGGGGGUCUGGUGGUUGUACCAGUGUUCUAUGAGGUAGAUCCCUCAGAAGUACGUCGUCGGGAAGGUCAGUUUGGAAAAGCUUUUGAAAAACUUAUACCAACAAUCUCAGUGGAUGAAUCCACAAAGAGUAAUUGGAAAAGAGAACUCUUCGAUAUUGGUAGCAUAGCAGGUUUUGUACUCAUAGAUUCCAGGAAUGAGAGUGCAGAUAUCAAGAAUAUUGUUAAACACGUGACCCGUUUGCUAGAUAGGACAGAAUUAUUCGUUGCUGAACAUCCAGUGGGUGUAGAAUCUCGUGUGGAUGCUGUGACUAAGCUACUCAAUAUCCAAAACUCCGAAGAUGUUUUACUUUUAGGAAUAUGGGGAAUGGGGGGUGUGGGUAAAACAACCAUUGCCAAAGCGAUUUAUAAUCAAAUUGGGAGAAAAUUCGAUGGACGGAGCUUUCUUUUGAAUAUAAGAGAAUUUUGCGAGACAGAUGCCAAUCAUGUUUCUCUGCAACAACAAAUACUCUGUGAUGUUUACAAAACAACGGCAUUCAAGAUACGCGAUAUCGAAUCAGGGAAAAAUAUAUUGAAGGAAAGACUUGCCCAGAAUAGGGUACUUCUUGUGCUUGAUGAUGUGAAUGAAUUGGACCAACUAAAGGCUUUGUGUGGAAGCCGUGAAUGGUUUGGUCCGGGGAGUAGAAUUAUCAUCACAACAAGGGAUAUGCAUCUUCUUAGGUCGUCUAGAGUUGACCUAGUGUAUACAAUUGAAGAAAUGGAUGAGAGUGAAUCUCUUGAGCUUUUCAGUUGGCAUGCAUUCAAGCAACCAAGUCCGGCAGAAGGUUUUGCUACACAUUCAACAGAUGUGAUUGCUUAUUCCGGGAGAUUGCCACUAGCACUUGAAGUUCUUGGGUGCUAUUUGUCUGACUGUGAAAUAACAGAGUGGCAGAAAGUUUUGGAGAAACUCAAAUGUAUUCCCCAUGAUGAAGUACAGAAGAAGCUAAAAGUAAGCUUUGAUGGUUUAAAAGAUGUUACAGAGCAACAAAUAUUCCUUGAUAUAGCCUGUUUCUUGAUUGGAAUGGAUAAAAAUGAUGCAAUAAAAAUAUUAAAUGGGUGUGGGUUUUUUGCGGAUAUUGGAAUUAAAGUCCUUGUAGAGCGAAGCCUUGUAACUGUUGACAAUAGGAACAAGCUUAGAAUGCAUGACUUGUUGAGAGAUAUGGGAAGGCAAAUAAUCUAUGAAGAAUCACCAUUUGAUCCUGAGAACCGCAGUAGGUUGUGGCGCCGUGAGGAAGUGUAUGAUGUAUUAUUAAAGCAGAAGGGAACAGAAGCUGUCAAGGGACUGGCUUUGGUGUUUCCAAGAAAAAAUAAAGUUUGUCUGAAUACCAAAGCAUUUAAGAAGAUGAAUAAACUCAGAUUGCUUCAACUUUCCGGGGUUCAGCUUAAUGGAGAUUUUAAAUACCUUUCAGGAGAACUUAGGUGGCUUUACUGGCAUGGAUUUCCAUUAACUUACACUCCUGCAGAAUUUCAACAAGGAAGUCUAAUUGUCAUCCAAUUAAAAUAUAGCAAUCUCAAACAGAUAUGGAAGGAGGGCCAGAUGCUAAAGAAUCUAAAAAUUCUUAAUCUUAGUCAUUCUUUGGAUUUGACUGAAACCCCAGAUUUUUCAUACAUGCCUAAUCUCGAAAAGCUAGUGCUCAAAGACUGUCCAAGUUUGUCUACAGUCUCCCAUAGCAUUGGAUCUCUCCAUAAACUUCUCCUUAUAAAUUUGACAGACUGCAUACGUCUUCGUAAACUUCCAAGAAGCAUCUAUAAAUUAAAAUCUCUAGAAACUUUAAUUCUUUCAGGAUGUUCCAUGAUUGACAAAUUGGAGGAGGACUUGGAACAGAUGGAAUCAUUGACAACCUUGAUUGCGGAUAAGACUGCUAUAACAAAAGUUCCCUUUUCAAUAGUACGAUCUAAAAACAUUGGAUAUAUUUCUUUAUGUGGAUUUGAAGGAUUUUCACGGGAUGUGUUUCCUUCACUUAUUCGCUCUUGGAUGUCACCAUCUUAUAAUGAGAUAUCACUAGUUCAAACAUCUGCAUCCAUGCCAUCUCUUAGUACUUUCAAGGACCUUCUAAAGCUUCGAAGUCUUUGUGUGGAAUGUGGCUCAGAUCUACAGCUAAUUCAAAAUGUAGCAAGAGUUUUGGAAGUAUUAAAAGCCAAAAAUUGUCAGAGAUUGGAAGCAAGUGCAACUACAUCACAGAUCUCUGAUAUGUAUGCUUCUCCUUUAAUUGAUGAUUGCCUAGGUCAAGUUCGCCCUUCAGGGUCAAAUAAUUACUUGAAAUCUGUCUUAAUUCAAAUGGGAACAAAACACCAAGUCCCGAGUCUUGCCAAAGAUCGCAUCUUACAGACUGCAAAUGGGACUUGGGAGUCAUUUUUGCACAAUAGUUCUGAGUGGAAAACCUUUAGUUGCCAAGGAUGUUCCAUUAUAUUUGAUAUCCCAACAAUGAAGGGGCGUAACCUGAAGAGUAUGAUGUUGUCCGUCAUUUAUUACUCUUCACAGGAGAACAUAACAUCAGAAGGUUGCCAAGGUGUGUUGAUCAUUAAUCACACAAAGACAAACAUUCAGGCCUAUAAAAGAGAUACAUUAGCCUCCUUUGAGGAUGAGGACUGGAAGAACUUAACAUCAAGUCUAGAACCUGGUAACACAGUGGAGGUUAUGGCUGUUUUUGCGGAGGGAUUCAAUGUAGAAAAAACAACAGUAUCUCUCUUAUAUGAUGAACCAAUUGACAAAGAAAUGGAACAGUGCAAUGCAGGAGAUGAGGAGGAUAUUACUGUUUCUGGAGAUGUCAAUAAGAAUAUUAAUGUUGGUGAUUAUAUUGAUGUGCCAGUGAAUAACAAUAUUAGUGGUCCUGGUGAAGAUAAGCACUCACAUGCAGUGAAUACAAAUUGUAUUGUUUCUAGUGACGAUGAGUCAACCGACAAAGAAACUGAACACUGCAAUGGACGAGAUGAGGCGGAUGUUACUGUUUCUGAAGAUGUCAAUAAGAAUGUUAAUUUUAUUGAUGAUGUUACAAAUUGUAUUGUUUCUAGUGAUGAUGAGUCAACCGACAAAGAAACCAAACACUGCAAUGGAGGAGCUGAGGAGGAUGUUACUGUUUCUGAUGAUGAGUAUUUCGAUGCGCCGUGGGAUAAUAAUUUGAUUGGUCCUGGUAAAGAUAAACACUCACAUGCAGUGAAUAAAAAUUCUACUGUUUCUAGUGAUGAUGCCCUGACAGCAAAUCAGAAUUAUGCUGUCUCUUUUGGUGGUGAUAUUCCAGCAGAUAAAAAUGUUAUUGUUUCUGGGGAAGAUGAAAAUAGAUUUCAUAGACUAUUCACCAAGCCUCUUUCCCUUGUUCGUGCUGUUUUGAUCUCUCGCCAUUUCUGGUUGGGUUUGGUUGCCAUUCUGGUUUGGAUCACUUGCCGUGGUUCUAAGUAAUGAAGUAGUCUAAACUUCUGUACAAGGUGUCCACUGGUAGUGUUGUGUUCAUGUUUAUGUCGGUGCAAGAAACCCCUCAACUGCACUUAAACAUGAAGUAGGGGGAUUGAUUUUAAACUCUACAGAUGGACAACUUCAACAUGCAGACAACAUGAUGCAGCCGACCAAGUACUUGCCUGUGAGGUUAAGAAACUUCGAGAGGAUGAGGAGGUCCCUAUGCCGCCAGAUAGGAUCUUGGUUCUUUAAGAGAGGGAAUCGAUGGACGGAAAAUGAAAAAAGAUGAACAUAGGCCACGAGUACAUACCGAACAUGGUAGACAAGGGUCUGAUGUUUGAGUUUGUUUAGAGGUGGCAUAGACAGAUGGACAGUUUCCACCUACUUCCUAUGGAGAUGAAGAUCGUGUUGGAUGAGUUUUCAUGCUUACUACAUCUACCAAACACUAGUGCCUUCAUAUCAUAUCUGGUAUCCUGAAACAUGGUGUGGCCUUAUUUAUUCCAGGGGUCAAAACUCGUACAGGAAAUCAUGGAGAUCGAAGCCGCAAGAGGUUGACAUGUUUGCUUUAGUUGGUCCUGUGAUGUCUACCAGGAGUAGGUAGACGAUGAGCAUUUAGGUGCAACAAUAUCAUUUUUACUGCACGUUGCAGGUACUAUCAUUUAUUGUGAUUUGAGUGCGACGUUUGUGAACGUUGAACUCUGUUUGGUGUCCUUACUACUUGUUGUAGGUGUGCAUGGUUGUGGGUGCCUUGCAUACUUAUACAUGCAUCUAGAGGAUCUUAUGUGACCUAUGCAAGAAAGUUCCUUGAGGUUUGGGGAAUCUACUUAGAGUAUUGGCAAUGAGCUUUGUCUUGAUUUCACCAGUCGUUUGGUUUUUUUGUUGUUGUAUGAACAUCCUAUCUUAUAUAGCUUAUAUUUAGGGAAA